UGAGCUGUGAUGAAGAAA
rnacentral:sRNA from 1 species